rnacentral:siRNA from 1 species
AGGAUGGGUGACCUCCUGGGAAGU